UUGAUAUUCAUAUAAUUGUGAGUGAGAAUUCGAGUGAUCUCGUGACCUCAGUAUCGAAGUAAACAGCAACAUUAGUAGCUUUCUCAAGAGUCAGAAAUUAAACAUCAGAGAUCUACUAAAAUAAAAAAGUUUUGCACUGCAGUGACCUUUUAUAUUUGUUGUUUGUUUUGACCUAAGUCAAAAGUAUGAAGAUUGUUUCAGUGUUUAGUUUAAUGAA
rnacentral:lncRNA from 1 species